AUUGAACGCUGGCGGCAUGCUUUACACAUGCAAGUCGAACGGCAGCACGGGCUUCGGCCUGGUGGCGAGUGGCGAACGGGUGAGUAAUAUAUCGGAACGUACCCAGAAGUGGGGGAUAACGUAGCGAAAGAUACGCUAAUACCGCAUAAGAUCUAUGGAUGAAAGCAGGGGACCGCAAGGCCUUGUGCUCCUGGAGCGGCCGAUAUCUGAUUAGCUAGUUGGUGAGGUAAAGGCUCACCAAGGCGACGAUCAGUAGCUGGUCUGAGAGGACGACCAGCCACACUGGAACUGAGACACGGUCCAGACUCCUACGGGAGGCAGCAGUGGGGAAUUUUGGACAAUGGGCGCAAGCCUGAUCCAGCAAUGCCGCGUGAGUGAAGAAGGCCUUCGGGUUGUAAAGCUCUUUUGUCAGGGAAGAAACGGUAGAGGCUAAUAUCCUUUGCUAAUGACGGUACCUGAAGAAUAAGCACCGGCUAACUACGUG
rnacentral:rRNA from 1 species